GACGAACGCUGGCGGCGUGCUUAACACAUGCAAGUCGAACGGAAAGGCCCUGCUUUUGUGGGGUGCUCGAGUGGCGAACGGGUGAGUAACACGUGAGUAACCUGCCCUUGACUUUGGGAUAACUUCAGGAAACUGGGGCUAAUACCGGAUAGGAGCUCCUGCUGCAUGGUGGGGGUUGGAAAGUUUCGGCGGUUGGGGAUGGACUCGCGGCUUAUCAGCUUGUUGGUGGGGUAGUGGCUUACCAAGGCUUUGACGGGUAGCCGGCCUGAGAGGGUGACCGGCCACAUUGGGACUGAGAUACGGCCCAGACUGCUACGGGAGGCAGCAGUGGGGAAUAUUGCACAAUGGGCGGAAGCCUGAUGCAGCAACGCCGCGUGCGGGAUGACGGCCUUCGGGUUGUAAACCGCUUUCGCCGGUGACGAAGCGUGAGUGACGGUAAUUGGUAAAGAAGCACCGGCUAACUACGUG
rnacentral:rRNA from 1 species